rnacentral:rRNA from 1 species
GAGUUUGAUCCUGGCUCAGGACGAACGCUGGCGGCGUGCCUAACACAUGCAAGUCGAACGGAGAUACGCGCUGAAUGGAUGGAGCUUGCUUUUGAAAUUCUUGUGUAUCUUAGUGGCGGACGGGUGAGUAACGCGUGAGCAACCUGCCUUUCAGAGGGGGAUAACGUUUGGAAACGAACGCUAAUACCGCAUGAGACCACAGUACUGCAUAGUACAGUGGCCAAAGGAGCAAUCCGCUGAAAGAUGGGCUCGCGUCCGAUUAGAUAGUUGGCGGGGUAACGGCCCACCAAGUCGACGAUCGGUAGCCGGACUGAGAGGUUGAACGGCCACAUUGGGACUGAGACACGGCCCAGACUCCUACGGGAGGCAGCAGUGAGGGAUAUUGGUCAAUGGGGGAAACCCUGAACCAGCAACGCCGCGUGAGGGAAGACGGUUUUCGGAUUGUAAACCUCUGUCCUCUGUGAAGAUAAUGACGGUAGCAGAGGAGGAAGC